GUACAACAUUAUAGAAUUUUCUUCUCCAACCUCCUGAUGACCCCUGAUGACCCCAGUUAGACUGCCUCCCAUUGAGGGGUGCAGUGAGUCUGGUCUUCCUGUUGGGCCAAAGUUAAGAGCUGAGACAGAACUCCCACUGGAUCCAUUUUUCUUCCUCAGCCCUCCUCCUCCUAAGUGGUGUCGUCAAACCCGGAUUUCUAACACACAGUGCCGAGCAGUUUCCUCCCCUCAGUGGACCACCACUCAACCCAAAAUGCAAUCUCAAGAGUGAUAAAAUAACAACAGCAACAAAACAGAUGUAUAUCAUAUUGCACAUACAGUUUUGUAGCUAUAGUUUUAUGAUGUCUUCUAUUCUGGAGUCAACGCACUGUGAGUGGAACCAUCACAGGAUCAAAAAUGAUUCAGACAGUGACAGAAAUUAGCUGGAACUGUGUUACGAAAUGUGACAUUUCUCCGUACUGCUUUCUAUAAAAAAUUCAAAAGGACAGAUUCAGGAAACAGACAGAAAUUUCGCAAACCACAUUUUAUUCUUGGAAUUUACAAGGAUUUCUACAUUGUGUAUUCAUGUUUCUAGGGCCUGAUAUUCAUUACGGACAAUAACUGACAAACAGCUUUUGCUUCAAAAGUGGCAAAAACUGAGGCCAACCAUGAUUUGCUGAUAUGAAACUGUGAUACAAAUCAAAGACUGUUAGCCAUAUGCCUUUGUUAGCUCUGUGUGCUCUGUAUUGCUAAUAUGUGAAACACACACAUGCAUACGCUGGUUGCUGCUAUUCCUCUGACCUACACAUCGUAAACAAUACACCGACACACAAAAACACACACGACUCACGUGCCUGUGGAUUCCUCUCUUUUAUCCCAGGGUGCAGAUGGGCCAGAACGGUGUCAGGGGAAGGCUGGGUAUGCCAGUAUUUGUUAUGUGUUAUUAUGUGCUGUCUUAAACA
rnacentral:lncRNA from 1 species